rnacentral:misc_RNA from 1 species
AACAUCGCGCACCUGCGGGAACCUGCGGAAGGAUCAUUACAGAGUUGCAAAACUCCCUAAACCAUUGUGAACGUUACCUAAACCGUUGCUUCGGCGGGCGGCCCGGGUCCUUCCCGGCGCCCCUCGGCCCUCGCGGGCGCCCGCCGGAGGUAAACCAAACUAUUGCAUUGUAUGGCCUCUCUGAGUCUUCUGUACUGAAUAAGUCAAAACUUUUAACAACGGAUCUCAGAUCGGAAGAGC